rnacentral:pre_miRNA from 1 species
UUUGUUAUCCACAGCCGUAAUAUGGACUCCGUAACAACGAUAUUCAGGGAAAUAUGUAUUUGAUAUAUUUCCCUGAAUAUCGUUGUUACGGAGUCCAUAUUACGGCUGUGGGU